rnacentral:rRNA from 1 species
AUGUCGUCGGCCCGUGCCUCGCCAUUGGCCACCACCAGUCCCCGGCCUGGCCCGCCGACUCUCCGUCAUGGCCUUCUCCGACGGCGGCAAGCGGCUGCGGCGGAUAUCAGACACAUGGGCAGCGGUGGCGGGUCGAUUCUCGACUGGCUGGUGGUGUGCGCCGCCGCGCAAGGGCAGAAGCAUCCAAGCGCAGAACCACCGGCACUCCGCCGUCCUAUGUCGCCCAGGUGUACCUCUUGCUUGACGUGCGAUUGUCCUUGCGUCGCCGGCGCCUGGACCCAAUGCCCGUCCAGACCACCGGCGUCCUGCCGUCCCAUGCUACCGGAGCCUUCCGCCCCGCAUCGUCGUCGUCGCCGUCAGGAAAUUCGGCCUGAGCUAGGCUACCACCGAAGCGGACGCGAGAAGGCACCCCCAGCUUCUGUCUAUGCGCCUCCGCAUCAGCUGCAGGAAGAUUUUCACCCACCAAGUCACAUCACCUUCCUAUUCUCAUGUAUACUUGCAUAUAGACAUUAUCAAGUCGUUCCUGGAAACGUAGCCAACCACUGA